UACGUAUGGGGCAAGCGUUAUCCGGAUUUACUGGGUGUAAAGGGAGCGUAGGUGGUUUGGUUAGUCAGAUGUGAAAGCCCGGGGCUCAACCCCGGUAGUGCAUUUGAAACUGCCAGACUAGAGUGCAGGAGAGGUAAGUGGAAUUCCUAGUGUAGCGGUGAAAUGCGUAGAUAUUAGGAGGAACACCAGUGGCGAAGGCGACUUACUGGACUGUAACUGACACUGAGGCUCGAAAGCGUGGGGAGCAAAC
rnacentral:rRNA from 1 species